UAACGAUCAAAGUACAUUUCUGUCUCUUGAAUACUCCACAAUGCCCAGCAGCACUUGCCGAGUAAUGGACACAUGGCCUGUGCUUAAUAAGAGGUAGUACAGCAAUGCAUUUGGAGCAUCAGCUCUGUGACCAGCCACUGCCAGCUCUGCAACUCAUGGCCUGUGUGACCUCGGUUACAGGAAAUCCAGUGAGUGCCAGCCACAGAAAUUCCCUGUGAUCCAAGGUAAACAAGCUGCUCCUCCUCAGUCCUGGAGGCUGACAACGUGCAGAGAAAAAGCCAAUUCACAGUAUCCUUCAGUUGGGCCUGAGAGGCUGAGAGUGAAUCUGCUGGGUGGGCAGGUGGACAGUGGGCAGCUUUCAGAGUGCAUAAAUGACCAGGUAAUUGGGGACACACACUCCUGUCUUUUUCCUUCUUUUUAAAGAAACAUUAUUUGAAUCCCAUUUUUUCAUCUGAUAGUCUGCCAGGGCUGACAGCCUAGGUCUGCUAUUUCUAAUGGGGAGCUCUGGGCAAGCCCCUUAUCUUGCUAAGCCUCAGUUUCUGCAUCUGUAAACUGGGGCUAAUACUAGGACCAAUCCUCAUAACACAUGUGAGAGUUAAAUGAGAACAUCCAUAUAAAGUAUGCGGGGUGUGCCUGUCACAUAUUACACACACUACAAAUGUUUUCCUUUACUGUUAUCACCAAUGAAGAUGGUCAGAUCAUAUUAUUUAGGGAUUUAACUGCCUUUUGUCUCUCAAAUACAGAAUUUUUUUUUAGAGUAAAGUUUUAUUGAGGUAAAAAAAUCCACAUUUGAAGGGUCAGAAACCCUAAGUGAGCAGUUUGAUGAAUGUUUAAAAAGCGAAUGGCCCCCAUGGAGUCACCAUCUAGAUCAAGAUCACCAGCCCCAAGAAGCUUCCUGGGACCCUUCAAAUUCAUUAUUUUCACUAUUUGGACUUCUAUUGCUAUAGAUUGACUUUUUAAAAGUGAAAUCACUGUCCUAACCACCACGCAAAUAGAAAUAUAGAACAUUUUCAGCCAUCCAGAUGGAUCCCCAUUCCAUUCAAAAAGAGCUGCUCUUUUGACUUCUAUUACAAUAAAUGUUUCUGAAUCUAUAUAAAUAGAAUUAUACAGACUGUGCAGUAUGUGCUCCUUGGUGUCUGGCUUCUUUUACUCCACCAUAUGUUUACUUGAGAGAUUUAUCCAUGCUCUUGCAUGGAGCAGACAUUCAUUUCUUCUCAUUGCUCUAUAG
ensembl:lncRNA